AUUGAACGCUGGCGGCAUGCCUUACACAUGCAAGUCGAACGGUAACAGGUCUUCGGAUGCUGACGAGUGGCGAACGGGUGAGUAAUACAUCGGAACGUGCCCGAGAGUGGGGGAUAACGAGGCGAAAGCUUUGCUAAUACCGCAUACGAUCUCAGGAUGAAAGCAGGGGACCGCAAGGCCUUGCGCUCACGGCGCGGCAGAUGGCGGAUUAGGUAGUUGGUGGGAUAAAAGCUUACCAAGCCGACGAUCUGUAGCUGGUCUGAGAGGACGACCAGCCACACUGGGACUGAGACACGGCCCAGACUCCUACGGGAGGCAGCAGUGGGGAAUUUUGGACAAUGGGCGCGAGCCUGAUCCAGCCAUGCCGCGUGCAGGAUGAAGGCCUUCGGGUUGUAAACUGCUUUUGUACGGAACGAAAAGACUCCUUCUAAUAAAGGGGGUUCAUGACGGUACCGUAAGAAUAAGCACCGGCUAACUACGUGCCAGCCGCCGCCGUAACAC
rnacentral:rRNA from 1 species